AAAAAAAAAAAAAAAAAAAGAGGUGUAUUUGGCUCAUGGUUCUGCAGUCUUUACAGGAAGCAUGGUGCUGGCAUCUGCUCAGCUUCUAGGGAGGCCUCAGGAAGCUUACAAUCAUGGCAGAAGUUGAUGGGGGAUCAGGCACGUCACACGGUGAAAGGAGGAGCAAGAGAGAGAGAGAGAGUGGCGAGGGAGGUGCCCCACACAUUUAAACAACCAGAUCUGAUAAGAACUCACUAUCAUGAAGACAGCACCAAGCGAUGAGGGAUCCGCCCCCAUGAUCCAAACACCUCCCACCAGGCCCCCACCUCCAGAUUGAGGAUUACAAUUCAACAUGAGAUUUGGGUGGGGGCAAAUAGCCAAACUAUAUUAGGUGGUUACCAAGAACUGGGGAAAGAGUUAGUGAGUGCAGAGUUUCAGUAUGGGAUAAUAAAAAGUGCUAGAGAUGCAUGGUGAUUGAUGAUGGUUACACAAUAAUGUGAAUGUACUUAAUACCAAUUUAAGUACAUUUAAAAACAAUUAAAAUGAUAAAUUUUACCACAAAAAUUACAUAUAUGGCUUGUAUUAUAUUUCUGUUGGAUUGUACUGGUCUAGAAACACAACGUGUUUUAUAGUUAAUUGUGAUUAGUGGUCAUAAUUCACAAAUACUUUAAAAAAAAAAAAAAAAGCAAAAACACCCUUGGCAGGAUUUAUUUGAACAAAAUCAGGUGCCUGACCUCUACUUAACUACUAAUAUGAAACCACACUGGCAUAUGGCACACUAAGGAAGGGAGUCAUUUUUACUUACAAGCUGCAGCAGGCACAAGGAACCAAAUGGGCCACAGAGAUGCACAUUAGGCUGGAGAAAGGGCAGGCAUUGAUGUCAGGGUGGCAGAUGGUUUCUAAGGCCCAUGGGGAGUUCAAGAACUAGUGGACACAUGUCCAGGGUCCAGGGUUAGGGUAGUAUUUGAGCAAUGGUAUUUCAAUAGGGACUGAUUUUGUCAUCGUGCUAUAUGCACAAGAUGGCAUACAGUGAUGCAACAUGAAAUACCUCUUCCUCAAACCUCAAGUUUUGCUAAAAGAAGAAAUUUUUGGCCUCUCUCUACCCUCACUCCCUCCUCCCUAAAGGAAGCAGAGUGACUUAUCCCAUUGGCAAAUUUAGGAGAAGUCAUGGAGGAUGAAAACGCCUGCCCCCUUUCUCUCUGAUCAGCCUGUCUACAGAACAGACUGCUUUUAUGUGCUGAGGACAGAAGCCCUCAAGUUUGGCCUGGGUUUUGGGGUAAGUUUGCUUGCCCUCCAGGAUAGAUUAACUCUUACUUUCCUGCAGGGGGCCACCCCAGGGCCCCAGUUGAACACAGAGGCCCUAAGUAUUAGAGAGCUUGACUGGUGCUGCAGAUCCAUGCAUGACUUAGAAUUCUCUUUUAUUAACCUCAAAACUGACAUUGUCAAUUCCAUCUGUCUGAUUUCUGCAUCUCAUUUCUCAACUGGUUCCCAGUUUGAUGUGGGGAGAGAGGCAUUAGAAAUUAUCCUUCCUAAACCUCCUAAGAGCAGUUUUCAAAACAGUAAGAACAAAAACAGCAUAGCAAUAUUUCAUGUAUGGCUUUAAAAAAUACCCAUUUGAUGAAAGCCAAGACAUAAAUUAAGUCACAGUUCUGUAAGAAAGUAUUAUGUAGAAGGCAGGUAAAACAUUUCUGCAGGAUCGCAAAGGCUCUAAGCUGAAGCACAGCAAUCUGGGUUACACCAAGAAGACUGGGCUGUGUCUGUGGCAUCUGUGUGUAAAUGAUGCAUGCCAAGCACUUGCUAGAUUCAGGUAGCACAAGAGUGCUUUCUUUAACUC
rnacentral:lncRNA from 1 species